CUGCAGGGUUGGAUCAGGCACUUUCCCAAAUGGGAGUGAACUGAGAUCAAUUUAGACGUGUCCUUGCAUUAUUGCAGGAGGGCAAUAACACAGCAUCAUGUUGUUCGCCAUCACUUCCAGAGAGCAGGGUGUGAUCUCUGCUGCAAAUCGCUGCCUGUCAGUGCUGGGGGGAGGAACUAUCAGCUGCUGGGAAACAAUGAAAUCUUCAUGGAAAGGAUUGAUUUGCCAUGCACAUCUUCAAUACUUUCACUCAGCUGGAUCUCUCUGAGGCUGCCUGGAAAAACACUUUCUAUCUUGAGCAGCCCUGGAUGUGAUACUCCUCUCCCCUGUGGACCCAGGGAAAAUCUGAUCCCACAGCCCGUGAACUCAAGAAGGUGAAGCACAGUCACAAUCCCAUAUCGAAUGGAGGGGACUGAUUCCAGCAAGAGCAAUGAGCAGAGAGAUGGAGAGACACAGCUGGUACAGACAGACCAACCACAGCCCCUUGCCAGCCUUUCCCUGACCACCUUCCUCACUGCAAGCAAAUGAGAGAGAUAACAUGAAAGAAUUCAGUCUUCAGCUGUUAAAAAGAAAAUAUCCUGUCCUACAGAACUUCUUCCAUCCCAUCUGGGAUUAUAAAAAGAAACGAGUGUUUUGGGUGUGUAACUGGCUGGCCUGAUUGUCAGAGCACAGCAUGGCUUCAAAUCAUGCUCCUUUCAUAUGCCUCAAAGCUGGGCCGCAAGAAUCAUCAGUCAUUUUUUUAAAUACAAGCCUUUGUUAUUACAUAUGUAUUCCAACCUCCCAGUGAUAUACAGAAGAGCUAUAUGCACAUUUUCCAAGGGAAAGAAAAGCUCUCAGUUACAGCAUGCCCAGUUGUUCUGGUUAUGAAAGAACACAGCUUUGCAAUGUAAGGAAAAAAAGGGCAUGAGGAUGAAGAUAUCAAAACAGAUCUCCACUUCAUCCAUAGUGGAGCCCCAGAGUUGCGAUGCUCAGAGCAGCUCCUGGUGGAGACCACUGAAAUUUAUAGAACAUAGAUAACGUGUGGAAAGACUUCCAGAGAAAACAUGGCCAUAGAAAGCUUGUUGGGUUGUCAUCAUCAGUAGCUCACCAGGGUUAUUUGUCUGAGCAAAACAAACAUUUCCAGGUUGCAGGAGUGAAAAACUCAUGAAAUAUCCAGGUUACUGUGCAGGGUGAUGCCAGGCGUGGCUUGUUUGCAUUCUCAUCUCCUGAUGAAAUAAAGGACAAACCUUCACCAAUUUAACUUCAUCGUAAUCCCAUUCAGUUGCUCUGAGUACAUCUGGGUUGAAGAUCAUAGCCAUCAGUGGAAGGAUCUGUUGCUAAGAGCUAUUCUCUCUUUGUAUCUGGUUCCAAAGGUCAGGAAGGCUAGACAGUCCUAAAACCAUCUCCACAGCACAGUGGCUCCAAAGUUAAUUUCAGAGAUUAUAAUCACACCAGGCAAAUACUCAAAAAUUGGAGAUGCCUGUAACCUCAAUGUGCUGCUUUGUCAUUGCCUCAAAACGGGGCUCAUAAUGGCAGGAGUUUGGUACAACAGAUGAGCCGUCCUGCCUUGGGUGUAUGGGAAAAAAACCUCAUUAUCUCUUAAAAAAGAGCAAAAAGUCCAAGUUUGAAUUGAUUGGUUGAGUGACUACCAUGUCACCAGUUAACAGUGUGUCGGUACCAAUUGAUCUUUGGCAGAACAUCACCAGUUUAUGUCAAGGGUUUCUAGCCCUGAAGGCCAGUUUAGGAAGAUGGUGGUAUAAAUGCCCAACCAGAAGCCACAGCUUUUUAUUGCAAGUGAAAGGUGAAACAAGAAAGGUGAUAUGCAUCCUUAUUUCUGUUCUAUGGAGAGCAAGAGAGCAGAAAACAAGGAAAGUGAUAUGUCGUAUUAGGAUUUUAAUAAACAUAAUAAACAGAAAUAAAUGUCUUCA